rnacentral:rRNA from 1 species
UGGGGAAUUUUGGACAAUGGGCGAAAGCCUGAUCCAGCAAUGCCGCGUGUGUGAAGAAGGCCUUCGGGUUGUAAAGCACUUUUGUCCGGAAAGAAAUCCUUGGCUCUAAUACAGUCGGGGGAUGACGGUACCGGAAGAAUAAGCACCGGCUAACUACGUGCCAGCAGCCGCGGUAAUACGUAGGGUGCAAGCGUUAAUCGGAAUUACUGGGCGUAAAGCGUGCGCAGGCGGUUUGCUAAGACCGAUGUGAAAUCCCCGGGCUCAACCUGGGAACUGCAUUGGUGACUGGCAGGCUAGAGUAUGGCAGAGGGGGGUAGAAUUCCACGUGUAGCAGUGAAAUGCGUAGAGAUGUGGAGGAAUACCGAUGGCGAAGGCAGCCCCCUGGGCCAAUACUGACGCUCAUGCACGAAAGCGUGGGGAGCAAAACAGGAUUAGAUACCCUGGUAGUCCACGCCCUAAACGAUGUCAACUAGUUGUUGGGGAUUCAUUUCCUUAGUAACGUAGCUAACGCGUGAAGUUGACCGCCUGGGGAGUACGGUCGCAAGAUUAAAACUUAAAGGAAUUGACGGGGUCAUAGCUGUUUCCU